rnacentral:rRNA from 1 species
ACGGAAGGCAGCAGUGAGGGAUAUUGCACAAUGGGGGAAACCCUGAUGCAGCGACGCCGCGUGAGUGAAGAAGUAUUUCGGUAUGUAAAGCUCUAUCAGCAGGGAAGAAAAUGACGGUACCUGACUAAGAAGCCCUGGCUAACUACGUGCCAGCAGCCGCGGUAAUACGUAGGGGGCAAGCGUUAUCCGGAUUUACUGGGUGUAAAGGGAGCGUAGACGGUAUGGCAAGUCUGGUGUGAAAACCCGGGGCUCAACCCCGGGAUUGCAUUGGAAACUGUCAAACUAGAGUGCAGGAGAGGUAAGUGGAAUUCCUAGUGUAGCGGUGAAAUGCGUAGAUAUUAGGAGGAACACCAGUGGCGAAGGCGGCUUACUGGACGAUAACUGACGUUGAGGCUCGAAAGCGUGGGGAGCAAACAGGAUUAGAUACCCUGGUA